AUGGACAUGAACACGAGGGGGGAUCAGGGCGGAGAGCAGGGUGGUUGGCGGGGGACUCAUCCUUGGCAGUUCAUGGGAAAGUACGGUGUGAAGCAGAGGGGGCGCCAUGGCGAAGCAUUUGAUCCAGGGAACAAAUGGUUUUGUCCUGGUUUUGCUGAUAGGACAAUAACAAAGAGAUUGCGGGUCGGGUACGGUGAUGCCAACAUUGUAUUAGGGGCAGAUAGAUUUAAGUUCCGUCUUAUGUCCAUGAGGAUAGGAUCACUAUUAAAUCAUCAGAAUAAGUCUGCUCCUGUUGCAACGCACGGGCAAUGGGAGAAAUGUGAUGUCCAUUUGGGAGAAUCAAGAAAGAAAGAAAAGAAGAGCGCUUCAAGGGUAAAAAGGUAG
rnacentral:rRNA from 1 species